AUGUGUUUAAGCUCCCCGUCCAGGCGUAGAGAAACAAGAGGAGGAGCCUCUAUAAUCAACGAAAAAAAUCUCAUCGUCAUGCACCAUGUAGUACACAUCGACAACAGCCAAAUUCUUGAGCGAGGAGGAGACUAUCUUAGCAUUUCUGGUGAGCAAAAAGUUGCAGUUUCUCAGUUGCAAGUCCUCCAGAGCAUGGCAGCGGAAGCUGAUGAGGCUCCCAAGAUCUGUCAGCUUCAGAUUAAGCACGCUGAAGAGAUGCAACCUUUUGAGCCAGCAAGGCCAUGCCUCGCCUUGACCUAUGGCGUGGCUGACCCAAUGGUUAGAAGUCCUGGAGGCGUGCAGCCGGAAGUCCUCCAGGAGCGCGAUGUCAUGGUUGCGCAGAAGGUUGCUGCUGAAGCCGCCACCUGCAUGGGGCGGAUGCUCCGUCUUGGCGGAGGCAUCCGUGCAGCGGCCUCCAACCAUUUUCUUUGGUUUGGGAUUACUGCAGUACGAGGGAGGAGACAGAGAGACGGUGGGCGCUUGUGUUCAUAUGCAACGAUGGUGGUAGGGAGAAGAAGGCUGCAAACUCGGAGGAGGCACAAAAAUGUCUGCUGGUUGUCCCUACGCCGCAGCCAUGGCGAAAUUAGGGAUCUUGGUUGGAGUGGGGACUGA
rnacentral:rRNA from 1 species